CUAUCUCUUCAUUUCACUGCCUGAAAAAAUGAGAAACAACGACAAAUAUGUUCUUCUGCAGAAUCCAUGGAUUUUAGCCUCUUUCUACAUCUCCUUGUUCCACCAUCUCGUGUCUAGUGACUCGCCAUAUUCUUUCGUUUUCGAUAGCAUAGCUCUUGAUUGCGGCUCACUCACCGAUACGAGGGAAAUAAGCGGCCGAACUUGGAAAGCGGACACCAAUUCAAAUUUCUCCCUUCUAGUAGAACAUAAUAACGCAUCAAGGAUCUCCCCAGCACUCCAACCCCCUCUACAAGCUAUACCUUACGGAACUGCUCGCCUCUCUCGCUCCCAGUUCACCUACACAUUUUCUGUCAAACCGGGGCCAAAAUAUGUUCGCCUCUACUUUCACCCAACUUCCUACUCCGGCUUCAACAACUUCAACACAUUUUUCUCUGUCAAAGCCAGCCGAUACAUUCUUCUUAGCAACUUUAGCGCCGCCCUUCAUGCUGAGGCUCUUGAUCGAUCGGAAGGGUUUUUUAGAGAAUUCUGCUUAAAUGUUGAAGAUGACAGAAAUUUGAGCCUAACCUUCACUCCAAGUCCUGAUAUUCCUGAUGCAUAUGCUUUCAUCAAUGGUAUUGAGAUCGUAUCAAUGCCCACAAAUCUUUAUUACAGUAACAAGAGUGAACCUGAUGCACAGGUCAAGUUUGUUGGCCAGGUCAACCCAAUAAGGAUCGAAACAAAUACUGCUUUAGCCCUCAUGUAUCGAAUAAAUGUGGGCGGGAAAUUCAUCUCACCCCAAGAAGACACUGGCAUGUUCCGAACCUGGUCUGAUGAGAGCGAUCACUUGACAGUAGCUGGAUCAAGCGUUCCACCAGCUAAUACAAGUGUUGAACUCAGCUUCACCAAGAUACCUAAUUAUACUGCACCAGAGGAUGUCUAUAAAACUGCUCGGUCAAUGGGGUACAACAAUACAAUAAAUCAACAAUACAAUCUCACUUGGGAAUUUAAAGUUGAUUCCUCGUUCAUUUACCUUGUUAGGCUUCAUUUUUGUGAGAUCGAAACUGUCAUACAAAAACAGAAUGACAGAGUUUUUCAGAUAUACAUAAACAAUCAAACAGCUGAGAGCCACGCAGACGUGAUUUAUUGGAGUACAGGAUAUGGGAUUCCAGUUAAAAAAGAUUACGCGGUGCUGAUGGGAGCAAGAGGAAACGAAAAGGUACAGAAUCUGUCCAUUGCAUUGCAUGCUCUUCCCUGGUAUAUGACAAGUCACUCUGACGCAAUUCUGAAUGGGAUUGAAAUCUUCAAAUUGAAUAGUUCGGAAUACAAUCUUGCCGGACCAAAUCCUGAUAUAGCCCUAAUGAGUCCACCAGUGCCUAGCCCAAAAUCAACAAAGCCGAAUACUAGACGGACAAAAAUAGGCGCCAUUGUCGGUGGAACUGUAUCGGCCUUUAUUGUCCUCUCUUUUCUAUUUUUCUUGAUUUUCCGGCGGAGACUAAAGAUCAAGGACUCGACUUCUAGUGAUGGAGCUUCAUGGUGGGGUCAUUUUUCUAUUACUUCGACCAACUCUGCCAAGACCCAAGGCUCAACUCUACCUUCUGAUCUUUGUCGCCGGUUUUCAUUAGCCGAGAUCAAAAAGGCCACUAACAACUUUGACAGUAUAUUCAUUAUUGGCGUCGGAGGAUUUGGCAAUGUCUACAAAGGAUUACUUAAUGAUGGAGCCACUACUGUUGCGAUCAAAAGGUUGAAUCCAGGGUCGGACCAAGGGGCACAC
rnacentral:misc_RNA from 1 species